UGAAUACGAGACGCUACGGCGUCGAAGCAGUCUAUGUCAUACUUCCAAGAAAAGCUCGCAAUGUCAUAAACAAAUAAUGCCUGUACCAUAACCGACACAGGUGGGUAGGUAGAGUAUACUAAGGGGCGCGAGAUAACUCUCUCUAAGGAACUCGGCAAAAUGACUCCGUAACUUCGGGAGAAGGAGUGCCUUAUUUAUAAGGUUGCAAUAACAAGAUCCAAGCAACUGUUUAUCAAAAACACAGGUCUCCGCUAAGUCGUAAGACGAUGUAUGGGGGCUGACGCCUGCCCAGUGCCAGAAGGUUAAAGAAGUUGGUUAGCAUUCGCGAAGCUGAUAACUGAAGCCCUGGUGAACGGCGGCCGUAACGAUAACGGUCCUAAGGUAGCGAAAUUCCUUGUCGGGUAAGUUCCGACCCGCACGAAAGGCGUAAUGAUUUGGAUACUGUCUCGGAGAGGGGCUCGGUGAAAUAGACUUGUCUGUGAAGAUGCGGACUACCUGCACCUGGACAGAAAGACCCUAUGAAGCUUUACUGUAACUUGAAAUUGAAAUUGGACUUUAUUUGCGCAGCAUAGGGAGGCGUUGAGAGUAUUCUUGCGGGAAUAUUGGAGCCAUCAGUGAGAUACCACUCUUGUAAUGUUAGAUUUCUAACUUUGGAUCAUUAUCUGGUCAAAGAACAGUUUCAGGCGGGCAGUUUGACUGGGCCGGUCGCCUCCCAAAUGGUAACGGAGGCGUACAAAGGUUUCCUCUGAACGGGUAGAAAUCGUAUCUAGAGUGUAAAGGCAUAAGGAAGCUUGACUGUGAGACCUACAAGUCGAGCAGGGACGAAAGUCGGUCUUAGUGAUCUGACGGUGCUGAGUGGAAAGGCCGUCACUCAACGGAUAAAAGUUACUCUAGGAUAACAGGCUGAUCUCCCCCAAGAGUUCACAUCGACGGGGAGGUUUGGCACCUCGAUGUCGGCUCAUCGCAUCCUGGGGCGGUAGUACGUCCCAAGGGUUGGGCUGUUCGCCCAUGAAAGCGGUACGCGAGCUGGGUUCAGAACGUCGUGAGACAGUUCGGUCCAUAUCCGGUGUAGGCGUUAGAAUAUUGAGAGGAGCCUUCUUUAGUACGAGAGGACCGAGAAGGACAUACCUCUGGUGUACCAGUUAUCGUGCCAACGGUAAACGCUGGGUAGCUAUGUAUGGAGAGGAUAACCGCUGAAAGCAUCUAAGUGGGAAGCCCACCUCGAGAUAAGUAUUCUCAUC
rnacentral:rRNA from 1 species